rnacentral:lncRNA from 1 species
CACCACGUCAUCAGAAAAGGCGUCAGACUGCUGUGCGCGCCCGCCCGGCCCGCCAGGAAAGCCUUACUGUGGACAAGCUGCAGCCUUGUCUCUGUCCAUUCUCCUGAGAAGAUCCACAUCUCUAAGGAGGAAACAAGAUGCAACAGCAUCCUCUUCCAUACGACUGUCUAUGUCCCCUGGCUAUCACUCUUAAGAAUCCAGGUAUGCAGGAGCAAGCCAGGUGAAGACAGGUGCAGUUGGGACCUGGGCUGCCGGGAGCUCAGACAGAGCUCGGAUGCUUGCUUCCCUUUCCAAGUCUUAAAGGACUGUGUUUUCUGGUUCAGAAAUAUCACAAUCAAG